rnacentral:rRNA from 1 species
CCUCGGAUCAGGUAGGGAUACCCGCUGAACUUAAGCAUAUCAAUAAGCGGAGGAAAAGAAACCAACAGGGAUUACCUCAGUAACGGCGAGUGAAGCGGUAACAGCUCAAAUUUGAANUCGGGCUCCUUCGGGGCCCGAGUUGUAAUUUGUAGAAGAUGCUUUGGGCGUGGCUCCGGUCUAAGUUCCUUGGAACAGGACGUCAUAGAGGGUGAGAAUCCCGUACGUGACUGGGUGCCUUCGCCCGUGUAAAGCUCUUUCGACGAGUCGAGUUGUUUGGGAAUGCAGCUCAAAAUGGGUGGUAAAUUUCAUCUAAAGCUAAAUAUUGGCCAGAGACCGAUAGCGCACAAGUAGAGUGAUCGAAAGAUGAAAAGCACUUUGGAAAGAGAGUUAAACAGUACGUGAAAUUGUUGAAAGGGAAGCGCUUGCAAUCAGACUUGCGUGCGGUUGAUCAUCCGAGCUUCUGCCCGGUGCACUCGAUCGUACUCAGGCCAGCAUCGGUUUGGGCGGUUGGAUAAAGGCCUUGGGAAUGUGGCUCCUCUCGGGGAGUGUUAGAGCCCUCGGUGCCAUGCAGCCUGUCCGGACCGAGGACCGCGCUUCGGCUAGGAUGCUGGCGUAAUGGUUGUAAGCGACC